rnacentral:rRNA from 1 species
UACGUAGGGUGCGAGCGUUGUCCGGAAUUAUUGGGCGUAAAGAGCGUGUAGGCGGCCAGGUAGGUCAGCUGUGAAAACUCGAGGCUCAACCUCGAGACGUCGGUUGAAACCACCUGGCUAGAGUCCGGAAGAGGAGAGUGGAAUUCCUGGUGUAGCGGUGAAAUGCGCAGAUAUCAGGAGGAACACCGAUGGCGAAGGCAGCUCGCUGGGACGGUACUGACGCUGAGGCGCGAAAGCGUGGGGAGCGAACAGG